UCGGGGCCCCGCCGGCUGCCUUUUGCUUCAGGAGAUCUUAUGGGAUCCUGAUCUUUUUGUUUCGGGGUGACCUCGGGGCCCCGCCGGCUGUUUUUUGCUUCAGGAGAUCUUACGGGAUCCUGAUCUUUUUGUUCCGGGGUGACCUCGGGGCCCCGCCGGCUGUUUUUUGCUUCAGGAGAUCUUACGGGAUCCUGAUCUUUUUUGU
rnacentral:lncRNA from 1 species